AUUGAACGCUGGCGGCGUGCUUAACACAUGCAAGUCGAACGGUGAACGAGGGAGCUUGCUCCCUCCGGAUCAGUGGCGAACGGGUGAGUAACACGUGAGCAAUCUGCCCUGGACUCUGGGAUAAGCGCUGGAAACGGCGUCUAAUACCGGAUACGACGCGCGAAGGCAUCUUCUGCGCGUGGAAAGAAUUUCGGUUCGGGAUGAGCUCGCGGCCUAUCAGCUAGUUGGUGAGGUAACGGCUCACCAAGGCGACGACGGGUAGCCGGCCUGAGGGGGUGACCGGCCACACUGGGACUGAGACACGGCCCAGACUCCUACGGGAGGCAGCAGUGGGGAAUAUUGCACAAUGGGCGCAAGCCUGAUGCAGCAACGCCGCGUGAGGGACGACGGCCUUCGGGUUGUAAACCUCUUUUAGUAGGGAAGAAGCGAAAGUGACGGUACCUGCAGAAAAAGCCCCGGCUAACUUCGUGCCAGCAGCCGCCGUAACAC
rnacentral:rRNA from 1 species